UACAGAGGGGGCAAGCGUUUGUUCGGAAUUACUGGGCGUAAAGGGCGCGUAGGCGGCCUUCUAAGUCGAACGUGAAAUCCCCGGGCUCAACCCGGGAACUGCGUCCGAUACUGGAAGGCUUGAAUCCGGGAGAGGGAUGCGGAAUUCCAGGUGUAGCGGUGAAAUGCGUAGAUAUCUGGAGGAACACCGGUGGCGAAGGCG
rnacentral:rRNA from 1 species